AGUCAUCCGUUUCUCGUCGAUAAUAAACGAUUGGAUGGCGGAGACCCUCAAGCAAAGGGAGGACACAGAGCGUGACCAGUACGGAACAGGGAGGUUGGAGGCCCGAAUUGACAAGGAGAAGUUUCUUCAGGAGGAGGAAGUAAGGAGGUUGGAAUCGUUGAACAUGGGAGAAGGAGGAGCGCCCAGUAGGUAUAGCGCGAAGCGAAUCAGAGAUCAAUUUAUUGCUUCAAGCUCGCUCAUGGCCCACGCAAUUUUGACGUGGGUAGAUGAUUUCAAAAGAAUACUUGUUGAGUUGCUAGAUGAUGAGUGCUUCCGAGUAGGCAGUCAGAUAGGAAAUAAAUUGUUGGGAUUGGAGGAUGAGAAUGUAGUGGAAGAUGAUGAAAUUGUAACAAAAUUGACGCAGACAAGGGAUGACGAAGAAUAGUACAACCCGGAAUGGAUUGAAGAGAUGGAGAAGAUGAUGGUGGCAUACGACAAGAAGAAGAUGAUUAAUAGCAGCUUCGCUAGGCCAUCGUUUGUGUUGGAUAGGUUCGAUUGUCUUGACCCCUUUGCUACACAACAAACACAUGGGGCAGAGGGUAGUGGUGGUGGAGAGGAAAACAACAAUGAUGAGAGAGCACAUGAUGCCCAGUUGUUGGUCAACCGGGAGUUGAUGAUCAACCAGGAGACAUUCCAAUGCACGAGCCAAGAGGUUAUGAUAUCCCCGAUAUCAUAUCAAAGGAUGAUGGUGUAGCCGGACUUAAAGUCCCAUCUGAAAUGCAUACUUCAGUCGGUGCAACUGGGACAUCAUCAGAUAUGGCAGCUGGUGGGGAAGUGCUGAGCAAGACUGGCGUCUGAGACAAGAGUUGAAGAUGGAGGUGGUGCAAUGCUGGUACCGGAUCUAAGAGUAAAACCCAAACAGAGAAAGCCACCAAAAAAGAGUGCAGCGGUGGAUAAGAGUGUCAAGAUACAUGCCUCGGCUAAGGGGGAACGCGGUGAGAUUCAAGCUGACAAAACAACACAGCCCAUUAAGGAGGGAGCUCCUAAGGGAGGGAAGGGAAAACAACUUGCCAUUCCAAAG